UACGGAGGGUGCGAGCGUUAAUCGGAAUUACUGGGCGUAAAGCGCGCGUAGGUGGUUUGUUAAGUGGGAUGUGAAAUCCCCGGGCUCAACCUGGGAACUGCAUCCCAAACUGGCAGACUAGAGUACGAUAGAGGGGUGUGGAAUUUCCUGUGUAGCGGUGAAAUGCGUAGAUAUAGGAAGGAACACCAGUGGCGAAGGCGACACCCUGGAUUGAUACUGACACUGAGGUGCGAAAGCGUGGGUAGCGAACAGG
rnacentral:rRNA from 1 species